GUUUCGAGUUACCCAUACCCAAACGGGACUACAUUUGAGUUACCCACCCUAUUCGGAUCCAAAUAGACGUUACCGAUUGCUUUUCGAUAACGGACCAGCAAGCGCGAAGUCUUUCGAACUUGGAUUUGGAAGCCCAAACCUCCUUGGCGUCGAUGCAUUUCUAACCCAAGAGGUUUUAGCGUGAGUUAGUAGGAACCGUUCGGCGAGCUUAGUAGCACAUUAGGACCUUGAUAAUUUUGCAGGUAACGAGGUCACUCACGGAAACGGUGAUGGCAAGGAAGAGACUUGACCGGAGAGACCAUAUUUAGUGCUACGUUAUUUAUUUUCUUUUUGAAUAGGAUGGUUAGAGUGUUACUUUCUAGUGCGAGUUGUUGCUUGGUUAACUAAUUUGCUUGUUUAGAUUCCUAUAUAAAGAACGCUGGAAAGUUGUUUGUUUACAAUUUUAAGAGCUCUAAUUUGAUUAUUUGUUCAGAUUGUGAGAAUUUGAACUUUUGAGAUUAA